rnacentral:sRNA from 1 species
UUCAUAGCAGAUGCAUUCACAGCAAGAGCAUUUCGUGGGAAUCCUGCUGCUGUUUGCCUCCUAGAAAAUGAAUUGGAUGAAGACAUGCAUCAGAAAAUUGCAAGGGAGAUGAACCUCUCUGAAACUGCUUUUAUCCGAAAACUGCACCCAACAGACAACUUUGCACAAAGUUCCUGCUUUGGACUGAGAUGGUUUACACCAGCAAGUGAGGUCCCACUCUGUGGCCAUGCCACCCUGGCUUCUGCCGCAGUGCUCUUUCACAAAAUAAGUAAUGUGAUUUUCUUUAAUGAAUCUAACACUUAGCAAAUGGCAUUUUUUUUUUUUUUAAGUUCUCACACACACUUUUUCUGAUGGUCCAAAGUGACUGGUAUAAAGACUCUGCAGAGUUUACUUCAUGAUAUUCAUAAUGCAGAAACAAAACCAGCAACCUUCAAUAGCACUUUGGCCUUUCUGAGUAUGUGCCCAGCAUCAUUGGAAAGCUGCGGUCAGAAUGCUAUUUUAUUUUAUUUUUAUUUUAUUUUACUUUCUGGUCUACAAAGAGUUUGACAACCAUUUUAUUUUAUUUUAUUUUAUUAUUUUAUUUUAUUUUAUUUUAUUAUUUUUUGAGACAGAGUCUCA